AGGCCGAGAAGCCUAAGGUGAAGACACGGGCAGAUUCCGUUCCUAGAGGAAGCCUGCUUCCUGGCUUGCGAACAGCCACCCCUUCGUGCUGGGCGCCUCCAUGCCAUUUCCUUGGUUCUUCUGCAUGGAGAGACCUUUCUGUCGUCUUCUUCCUAGAGGGCUCUGACCCCACAGCCUCAGGACCUCAUCUAAACCUCCUAACACCAGUGCGUUUGGGGUAUUGCCUUCGUGGUUUACUCACUUGAAGAAGUAGGCUGCCACUCCGGAGAGGCCACGUGGCAAGGGAUAAUGGCGGCUGCAAGCCAACAGGACACAAGGGACUGAAUCCUGCCCACAAUCAUGCUAUUUUGGAAGAGGACCUGUCCCCAGCUGAGCCUUCAGAUGAGACCCUGGCUGCUGUGCAGCCUUAUGAGAGACCUGAAAUAGAGGACGCAGCUAAGCUAUGCCCAAAUUCCGACCCACAGGAAGUGUGAGAUAAGAAAGCGAAGCGUCAGCCCUUCCUGAGCCUCGAGCCUGCCAGUCUUUGGAUGGGAAUGACACAGCGGCUCCCCUGCCUCUGACCUCUGGACCCGAACUGAAACUGAGUCAUCGGCUCUCUCGAGUCUCCGGAUUUGCCAGCUCACCCUGCAGAUCGCCAGACCUUCCUGCAUCCGUGACUGCGCGAGAAACUUCCUCACAGCAAAUCAAUUUCUCUUUCUCCACACGCACACACCCUGUCGUUUCUGUUCCUCUGGAACAGGCAGCAGGUACAGCAAGCAAAUCGGUGAUCCAUCUGACAGUGACAAACCGCUGUGAGGAAUAUACGACGAGAUCGGGGGAAAGGGGGCGGUGGUCCUUUGGCUGUGGGGGCCAGGACCACCUCUCUGAGGAGGCGGCCUCGCAGCUGAGCCGGACUGGGAGAGCAACAGCCGUGUAAAAGCCUGCUGUAUGGUCCUGGGCAAAUGAACGUUCCCCUCUGAGCUUGAGGUUCCUGACAUCACUGCGCGGACCCGAUGAGACGAUGGAAGGGAGCGCGUUAGCGCUGCGUCCGGCCCACAGAAGCGGCAGUCGACAAGUCAGGUUCUUUUCCCGGUUGUUCACGAGGGGCAAUGACUGGGAAACGCUGCCACUAAACAAGCUGGGAAAGUAGAACUGACAUGAACUUUCUGGAAGGCAGUAUCGGCACGCCCUUUGACAAGGGACUACCUCCCUGUGGCCCGGGGAGACGAGGAGGAAAGGUAUACCGAAGACGCUCCUCACAAUGUCAGUUACACGGGAAAACGACACAAAACGAAACGUCCGAGGUGGGGGCGGCUGAGAGGCACUUUGGCACACGAACGGCUAGAGCUUUGAAGUCAGAGACGUGGCUCUUCAGGGGCGUUCCCUGGACGACUUCUGGCAAGUCAUCAAAUUCUGUAAACCUCAGUUAACUUGGAAAAUGGAGACCACAGAGGCAUCCCUGCCACCGAGGGCUGUGAUACGAUGACAUGGAAAAACGCGUGUGAGGCGCGCCUGGGGGGCUCAGUCGGUUGAGUGUCCGACUCCGGCUCAGGUCAUGAUCUCAUGAGUCCCGAG